rnacentral:rRNA from 1 species
UGCUUAACACAUGCAAGUCGAACGAAGUCUUCGGACUUAGUGGCGCACGGGUGAGUAACAUGUGGGAAUCUACCUAGAGGUUCGGAACAACUAUGGGAAACUGUAGCUAAUACCGGAUGUGUCUGUAAAGAGAAAGAUUUAUCGCCUUUAGAUGAGCCCGCACUAGAUUAGUUUGUUGGUGAGGUAACUGCUCCACCAAGACUACGAUCUAUAGCUGAUUUGAGAGGAUGAUCAGCCACACUGGGACUGAGACACGGCCCAGACUCCUACGGGAGGCAGCAGUGGGGAAUAUUGGACAAUGGGGGAAACCCUGAUCCAGCAAUGCCGCGUGAGUGAAGAAGGCCCUCGGGUUGUAAAACUCUUUCAUCAAUGAAGAUAAUGACAUUAAUUGAAGAAGAAGCUCCGGCUAACUCCGUGCCAGCAGCCGCGGUAAUACGGAGGGGGCUAGCGUUGUUCGGAAUUACUGGGCGUAAAGCGUAUGUAGGCGGAUCGAAAAGUUAGAUGUGAAAUCCCUGAGCUUAACUCAGGAACUGCAUUUAAAACUAGAGAUCUAGAAUUUGGCAGAGGAUAGUAGAAUUUCCAGUGUAGAGGUGAAAUUCGUAGAUAUUGGAAAGAAUACCAGUGGCGAAGGCGACUAUCUGGACCAUUUUUGACGCUGAGAUACGAAAGCGUGGGUAGCAAACAGGAUUAGAUACCCUGGUAGUCCACGCAGUAAACGAUGAGUGCUAGUCGCUGGAUCAAUAGGUUCGGUGUCGUAGCUAACGCAUUAAGCACUCCGCCUGGGAAGUACGGU